GGCCUUGCGCCGGCCGGGGAGCUUUUCGCCAAGGCUCCUGUGGGAUGGGAUAGCUUGUUCUCUGGGCUGCAGGAACCAAAACAUUAGACCACCCUUUCUGUGACCUUGGGCAUGCCGCCCUCGGUUCCGAGCCGCAAGUCUUUCUUUCGGGGAAAAUGAAAAGGGGUCAAGAUUUGGACCAGAUGACACCCAAUGUCCCAUUCAACGGUCGCAUUCUGUCAUCCACAGGAAUUAGUCCUGUAUCCGAAACAUUCUCUGGUAGUCAAAAGCUGUGAGCAAAUAAUAAGAAAAAAUGUGCAAAACGUUUUUUAGUACAGUUAGCAAAUAGUGUACUCAGUUGUUGAAGGAAAUGGGAUGAAGCCUAUCAGAUUUCAACAAACUUAUUUACCUCUUGAGAAAGCUGCUCUCUUUUCGGUUGUCCUUCUGUGUCUCUCUUUCAAAGAUCAAGUCUCACUGCGAUGCUGAUAUGUUUUUAACACUUCUCCAGCAUUUCUUAACCUAACAGCAGGUUUCAGGCACAGGCCUGCAGCAAGCAGCCAUAUCCAACUAAAAUUCCACUACUAUAUGUUUUUAUUUGCAUUACAUUUAUCAGGGAGCUUUCUAUUUAUGGCAAGGAAACUGAUUUUAAAUUUAAAUCAGUGAUAUACAUCAAGAGCUAGAUUUUGCAUUUUUAAGUGAAAAAGUAAGCUAUCAAAUAGAACAGGUGGAAUUUGGAUAUGGUGGGGCGGAGGGGUAGGCAGAGCAGGGGAGAGGAACAUCGUGAUAGUGGUACUCAAAUUACUAAGUUUUAGAAAACACUAUCACGGGGCCUUUCAGGAGCCUGGAGACAGAUGGAGGGGAAGACAGAAGAGAGAUUAAGGAGAAGAAUGGUUUCAUUUGGAAGGACACUGACUAAGGAAAAACAGAGAAAAGGAUGAAACCCAAGCCAACUCUGCAACUCUAUUAAAAACACCAAGACUUCAAUAUAAUCUCCUUAAAGGGAGGCAGUGCAUUCUUCAUGGCUAGAGCUUCAGCAGCUAUCUAGAACCAUAUGGUGGAAGCCACUUACUGAGAACUGUGAAACAAGAGCCUGGGUCCCUGACAUAUGAAGCCACCAUACCUACCUUAAAGUGUCUUUCACUUGAGGGAAAAAUACAUCUUUCUUAGGU
rnacentral:lncRNA from 1 species